UUCCUGGUGGUCCACUGGCUAAGGAUCCCGCACUCUCACCACUGUGGCCUGGGUUUGAUUCCCAGCCAGGGAA